UUUACGGGAGGCAGCAGUGGGGAAUAUUGGACAAUGGGCGCAAGCCUGAUCCAGCCAUACCGCGUGUGUGAAGAAGGCCUUCGGGUUGUAAAGCACUUUGAGCAGGGAGAAAAAGUUUUAAGCUAAUACCUUAUAACCUUGAUGUUACCUGCAGAAUAAGCACCGGCUAAUUCCGUGCCAGCAGCCGCGGUAAU
rnacentral:rRNA from 1 species